rnacentral:rRNA from 1 species
GACGAACCGUGCGAACGUUGUUCGGAAUCACUGGGCUUAAAGGGCGCGUAGGCGGGCGGUCAAGUCAGAGGUGAAAUCCCACGGCUCAACCGUGGAAGUGCCCCUGAUACUGAUCGCCUCGAGGGAGGUAGGGCGUGCGGAACUUCCGGUGGAGCGGUGAAAUGCGUAGAUAUCGGAAGGAACACCAACGGCGAAAGCACUCUGCUGGGCCGACACUGACACUGAGAGACGAAAGCUAGGGGAGCGAAU